ACAUACGUGGUCACUUGAAUAGAUAUUAAGGAAGAUAUAGCAGAGAAGGAGCUGGCAUCUUCAUGCCCUUCCAACUGGAGGUUAGUUCUUUACAAUUUUAUCCCUCAAUUGAGAUUCAAGUUCUCAAUCAUUGUAGCGUACUUGCUGGCUUCUAGCUACAAUUUCAUGGUGGUAGAUACUGAAUGUAGAUUUUAAAUUGUACAGACUGAUUUAGAGUAGUUGACCUCUCGUGUUCUGAAGCCUUUUGAUGUAUGCUUCCAUUUUGAAAGAAUUGAAGCAAUUGUUCCAUGGAGUGAAAUAACACUUUCAUCCUCAAACAACAGGUGUCUCAUUAAGUUUCUUAUUCACCAAUUGAAACAUGUGUGAGUAAUAGCACAACUAAAGUUGCUGAACACAUUAUUAUAAAAUGAUAGGCUGGAUUAUCGUUUGUAUGCAUUCUACAAGGAUUAUUUCUUGUGGAAUUAAAAUUAGUUAUCUAUUUUUUAAGGAUACUAUUUGUGAAAUUUUAUCUGGCCAACUCUUUUUGUUAGGAAAUGGAAGCGAGACUGUUGUAUUUUCCCCUUGUAAACCAGCGAUAUGGGAGGACACCAUUAUUACAAAUUUGAAGUCUGACUGUGUGUUAUUGGCAAGAUACCUACGUGGAUGAUAUCGACAGCUCGAUGGCCACAAUGAACCAGAUGUUGUCGACUACAUGGAGGACAUCUAUAAGUACUACAAGGCAGCACUGGUAACUACAAUCUUCCUCUUCAGCAUGUCUGUUGAAGCGACACACAACUGUACUUUCAGUCUAAGAUGAAAUACGAGCACAUAGCCAACAUCACUUAAUUACUAUGCAAUGGAACUUAUGCUGACACAAGACAAUAUUUCUGUGAUACCUCACUAAUCUAAACUAAAGACUAACUAAUUCGGAAAUGAAGUAGACAUGUUUCAAGUCCUUUUCAAGUCAAAGUGUUUAGUUUAGGUUGAUGUACAGUGAACAAGAGUAGCAUUGAGUAGCACACUUUUGCUUUCUAAAACUAGGGAUACACAUGCUCAGAUUCUCAUGCAACCAUCCAGUACCAUUUAGAUGUUCUUGGCUCUUCCUGUAGACUUCAAUACUUCACAGUGGAUGUGUUUAGUUUCUUGGUUUCUUUUUCUCCUUUUCGCUGAAUCUACCAAAUUAUCCUAUGGCUAGAAUUGUUUUUAGAACUUAAUCUUCUAAUUUUUUCCACGUGUUGCAAUCUAUCCAAGGUUUUCUCAUGAAACCAUCUGAUUUGUUUCUUGCGCCUUCCAUUUUUGUGUUUUCCUUAACCAUCAGUUCAUUUGAUUCUGUAUGACUGAUCUCAAUUGCCUGGUAAACUUUUGAAUUUCUGGCGUUAUCAAGGCAAUGUCAUUUUUCUGUAUAAUGACUUUCUUUUACAAUUUAUUUUGUAAGCACAGAUUUCUUACCGAAAGAUAUUCUUCAUAUGCCCACUAACUGAAACGAACUUAGUCGCUUUUGACAUUUUUUAUUCCAUGAAGAAUACAUAGUGUAUUUCUUUCUUUCCUGCUGUCUCAGAGGAAGAAGAAAAUCUCUGAAUUACGUAUGUGUUUGAGCUAUGAGGGAUGUCUGUUAUGUCAUUUAUUCUCUUACAGGACAUCUUAGCAGCUUAGCUUCUUGAAGUUAUAUUUGUAAAAAGUUUCAUUUCGUGUAGGAUUUUCAAGAGUGAGUUGUUUUCUGUGGCUAGAAAAAGAAACAAUUGCAGUGAGAUACUUGUAUAAUUCAUUUGAUGGCUCUUCUUUUCCUCAGGCUAUUCUUUUCCUCAGGUUCUUAUUGAUCUCUUCUUUGCAUGAGCUUCUGAACAUACAUCUAAAGCUUCUAAGAAGCAAAUCCAUACUCUAGC
rnacentral:lncRNA from 1 species